AAAAAAAAAAGAAAAAAAAAAGUGGUGCCCAAAAAAGGGUUCCUUCAAAAGUAGUAAAAUCCAAAGCAAAGCCCAUGGACGGCCCAAUGUUUGGUUCAUUGGCAUACAGGAAAAAAGGACCGCAGAGUUUAGGGCAUAAUUUUCAGUUUUUUCCCCAAAUUUACGAUUGGCGAUUGAAGAUGCAAAAGCAAAAUUGAAUGUUUUAAGUGUUUCAGAAGAGUCAACGUCAACCGAUGAAGAAGAAGAAGAAUCAAUGGGAGUUAUUGUUCCAACCAAAAUCGAAGAAGCAGGAAGGAAAUAUUGCUGUGCUAAAUGCUAUCGUUCAUACGGACGAGUAACCCAUGUUGCUUUAGAAAAGAGAGUCACCCUGGAACCAAAUGCUCUUGUGUCUGGUCGGAAUGGACGGAAGGACCAAUUAUAUCACACUAAUCGUUAUCCUGGGAUGAAUUUGCAUCUCGUAGAAGUAGGAAUGUUGGAUCAUCCGGGACGUAUUAGGAAGUUCGACACUGUCUGCAACUUUUGUGGUGAAUUAGUGGGAUGGUACUUUAGCGCUGUCUUAGUAUGCAGCAUUCUGCAGUCCGUUGCAGAUAGCCUAUACCCUCCCAUGUAUACAAACUGGCCCAGUUUUGCACUUGUUUGAUACCACCAAUGUGCCCUGGGUCCUAUAGCUUCUACUGCCAAAAGGGACAAUUAUCGUUCACUAGUGUACUGGUGCGACACAUUGAUGGACAGGUAGUUUUGUUAGAUGAUGAAGAGAAUGAAGUAGCAAGAGAUUAUGACUCUGAGAUGCCGAGAAUGGCCUACUUGAUGGAAAGGAACUGUGAUGCUGUGGAGGCCUAGAGACACAUAAAUGUCACUGGGCAACAUAUGGGAUUUAAGCUGCUAUGGAUGGUUAGUUUAUGUAUAAAGAUUAUCAGAAUAUCUCUUCUUUGUGCUUCUUGAUUGUUGUGUACUUCAAGUUAUUAAGUUGGGGAAAGUAGUCCGUCGCUUCUUUAUGAUGUUCUGUAACUUCUGUUUAAAUCAGCCAGCCCAAAUUUGGUUCCUCCUUUUUCUCUAUGUUGCUAUACAAACCAAAUUCCUUUUGAAAGAAUCUAACUUUCAUUAAUAGAUGAUGAAUUAGGAGACUCUAUAUACAUGUGCGCCACAUGUUUGUAUAGAGAUAAACGAUCCACCGGGAGAGCAAUUUCUUCCUGGGAGCAUGCUGAACCUACUCCAGUUACUUUACCUGGCUUUUAUUCUUGGGUGGGUCAUGGUGUUGAUCAAAUUUCUGAGGAAGAUGCGUAUUUGAUUACCCGGAUGUUUACUCCUAUUACAGGAUUGCUUAACACUCACAUGGUAGCGUAUGGAGGAGCAAUAUCAAGAUUUGGUAGGAGAGUCGUUAAUGGUGAAAUUGCAUAUGGGAAGAUUUUGGCUCCCUUAUUUUGCAACUACUGCCAGUGAAUUAAUGAAGUGCACGGAGAGCAAUAUAAACAUGGAUUGCCUCUUGCAGAUAUGAGCUCAAUUUUUAGAUACUCAGGUGCAGAUGAUUGAUUUUUGGCUGGGGAUAGCGAAAGUGUAGUACUAGUAUCAAAGGGUUAUCAGCAUCUUACUUGACAUACGCAUUAGUGUUAUCAAGUUUUUGAUUAUCUUGAACAUCUUACUUAACUCUCUAUACUUCUAACUAAUAGAUAGCUUUGCAGUUAUAUUUACUUUUAAUUGGGUUUAUAAGCCCAUAUAUUGCAGAAAAAUGAAAUGACACCGAAGUGAACAAGGUUAUUUGUAAAAAUGGAGCAUAAUCUCAAUUUUUGGGUGUCUUGUUAUUUUA